rnacentral:piRNA from 1 species
CCCAUAAUUAGCAGUGUGGUGGCACAUGCU